rnacentral:rRNA from 1 species
UACGAAGGGGGCUAGCGUUGUUCGGAAUCACUGGGCGUAAAGGGCGCGUAGGCGGCUUUAUAAGUCGGGGGUGAAAGCCUGUGGCUCAACCACAGAAUUGCCUUCGAUACUGUAGAGCUUGAGACCGGAAGAGGUAAGUGGAACUGCGAGUGUAGAGGUGAAAUUCGUGGAUAUUCGCAAGAACACCAGUGGCGAAGGCGGCUUACUGGUCCGGUUCUGACGCUGAGGCGCGAAAGCGUGGGGAGCAAACAGG